CACGUAGGGUGCGAGCGUUGUUCGGAAUCACUGGGCGUAAAGGGCGCGUAGGCGGCCCGCACAAGUCUGCGGUGAAAACCCCCGGCUUAACCGGGGGCCGGCCGUGGAAACUGUCGGGCUGGAGGCUGGGAGAGGGCAGCGGAAUUCCCGGUGUAGCGGUGAAAUGCGUAGAGAUCGGGAGGAACACCGGCGGCGAAGGCGGCUGCCUGGACCAGUCCUGACGCUGAGGCGCGAAAGCUAGGGGAGCAAACAGG
rnacentral:rRNA from 1 species